rnacentral:lncRNA from 1 species
CUGGUGUUAGAAGUGUUGUGUUAAGUGGAGCAUGAGUAAAAGUAGGAAAAACACUUCGAGCUUUUUUUCAAUACCAUAUAGUGAACAUAAAGUUAUGUUUGUUAAGGUAAAAAAAUUGACACAUUUUAUUAAACAGUCUAAAAGCUUGAUUUCUAACUUCUAAACACUUGGUAACAUGUUUUAUAGCUCUCCAUUUGAACUCUUGCCUUAAGCACUGCAAAAAGUUAGGGGUGGGUGUAACCAUUCAGAAAUAUGAAAGUUAUCAGUGACCUGAAAAACAGCAGUCCAACUUGAGUGGGUUGGUGAAAGGCGGUAAGGUGAGAAAGUACAGGAUCUGACCAGAAACUGUGUUUUCAUAUAGCUAACCAUGAAAGAGAGAAGAUAGAUAAGAAGUUAGUAGGAAGGGGAUGUAAAGACAAGAAAGGUAUUUUGUUUUGUUUUGUUUUGAAAUGUUUGGUUUUAGAUGGGAAAUGUAAUAUAUUUUUAUAUUUAUGAGGAUAAUCUGGUAGAGAGAAACAAAUUCAUGAUGAAUGGGAGAAUAAUUACGAAGUCCUUGGAGGGUGGAGCAAGAUGGUCAAAUAGAAGCUUUCACUGAUAAUCCUCCUUGCAGGAACACCAAAUUUAACAACUAUCUACACAAAAAAGCACCUUCAUAAGAACCAAAAGUCAAGUGACCACUCAUACUACAUGGUGUCAAUUUCAUAUUGCUGAAAGAGGCACAGAAGAGGGUAGGAAAGACGGUCUUGGAUCACUGAUGCCACCCCUCCCCCAUCCCAUGACAGCAGCCACCUAACACAGGGAGAUAGCUUGAAUGCUUAGGGGACAGAGAGCACAGCAACUGUGGAUCUUUGUGUUCAAAUCAGUGCUGCCCUCACAUAGCAGAAAGAAAAACCAUGGGGUGGUGGGGGGCGGGGGGCAGAGACCACAAAAAAGACAAAGAAAAAUAAACAAAAAAGAAAAAAUAAACAGAAAAAACAUGCUGAACUCAGCCAAUGCUUGCUCAUGGAGAGAGUAUUUAGGCCAGCCCUAGCCAAAGGUGAAUUGUCCAUCCCAGCUGCUGGAACCUGAGUUUCAGCAAGCCUCAACACCAUGGGCUAAAGGGCUCUGGGUUACUAAACAAACUUCAAAGGAAAUCUAGGACACAAGAACUGCAAUUCCUAGGCAAGUCCUAGUAUUCUGCUGGGCUUGAUGCAAGUAGACUUGGGGGACACAUGAACUAGUGAGAUACCAGUGGGGGAAACUAAGGGAAUGCUUGCACUAUCCCAUCCCAAACCCCAGGCAGUGUGACUCACAGCAAUGAAAGUGACUUCUUCCUUCUGCUUGAGGAGAGCAGAGGAAAGAGUAAAGAAGACUUUGUCUUGUAUAUUAUACACCAGCUCAGCCACAGUAGAAUAGGGCAUUGAACAGAAUCAUGAGGCCUCCCAUUCCAGGCCCUGGGUCCUGAAUGACUUGUCUAGACACAGCCUGCACAAGAAGGGAACUCACUGCCUUGAAGGGAAGAACCAAGUCCUGGCAGAAUUUUUCACCUGCUGAAUAAGGAGCCCUUGGACCCUGAAUAACCAGCAGUGAUACCCAGAUGGUACAUGUAACGAGCCUUGAGUGAGACUCUGAGACAUGCUGGCUUCAGGUGAGACCCAACACAUUCCCAGCUGUGAUGGCUAUGGUGAAAGACUCCUAAUUGAGAACAGCAGAGGGAAAAGUAAAGGAGAUUUUGUCUUGCCAUUUAGGUACCUGCUCAUCCACAGUGGGAAAGAACACCAAGCAGGCUCUUGGGGUCCUUGGUUCCAGGCCUUGGCUCUUGGAUGGCAUUUCUGGACUUACUGUAGGCCAAAGUGGGGACCACUUCUCUGAAGCGUAAGUCCUAGGCCUGGCAACAUUCACCACAAGCUGACUGAAGAGCCCUUGAGCCUUAAGUGAACAUCAGCGAUAGCCUGGCAGUACUCUCCAUGGCCAUGUCAUUGUGGUUGCCAUGAAGACAGGUUCCCCUGCCUAUGGAAAAAGAAGGGAAUAUUGGGAAGGACUUUGUCUUGUGGCUUGAGUGACAGCUUAGUCACAGUAUAAUAGAGCAUCAGGUAGAUUUCUAAGGCUUUUGAAUCCAGUCCCUGGCUCCUGAAUGGCACUUCUGAACCUGCCUGGGUCCUAGGGAACUUGCCACUCUGAAGGGAAAGACACAAGCCUGGAUGAUCUCACCACCUGCUGAUAGUAGAGUGCUAGGGCCCUGAGCAAACAUAGGCAAUAACCAGGUAGUGGUUACAACAGGCCUUGGGUGGCACCCAGUGCAGUCCCAGUGGUAGUGGCCACAGGAGUGCUAACUUUCUUCCCCAGCUCCAGGUGGCUCAGCAGAGAGAGAGACUCUGUUUGCUUGGGAGAAAGUAAGAGAAGAGAACAAGAGUUUCUGCCUGGUAAUCCAGAGAGUUCUUUCAGAUCUUCUCUAAGGCCACCAAGGUGGUACCUCUACGAAACUACAAGAACCAAAGUAUUACUAGGCUUUGGGUACCCAACUAACAUAGAUACGACUUAGAGCUCAACACCUGAGUCUGUUUGAAUACUUGGAAAGCCUUCCCAAGAAGGAUGGAUACAAAGAAGCCCAGACUGCAAAGACUACAAUAAAUACCUAAUUAUUCCAUGCUUAUACAGCAACAAACAUUCACAAGCAUCACAAUCAUCCAGAAAAACCAUAACUUCAUCAAAUGUACUAAAUAAGGCACCAGAGACCAAUCCUGGAAAAACAGAAAUAUGCGAACUUUCAGACAAGGAAUUUAAAAUAGCUAUUUUGAGGAAACUCAAAGAAAUUCAAGAUAACACAGAGAAGGAAUUCAGAAUUAUAUCAAAUAAAUUUAACAAAUAGAUUGAUAUAAUUAAAAAGAAUCAAGCAGAAACUCUGGAGUUGAGGCUAGUCCAAAGGUAGUAAGUUAUCUAAAUUGUUCACAGUUAUACAACUGUUCACAGAUUGAAUUCCCUGUUCUGCUCUUUCCUGCCUUCUCACUACUGUACUUGCCUAGGCUUUAAAAAUUAAUCUUAAAAAGUGGAUCCUGGAGUUGAAAAAUUCAACUGAUAUACUGAAGAAUGCAUCAGAGUCUCUUAGUAAAAGACUAGAUCAAGCAGAAAUAAGAAUUAGUGAGCUUGAAGGUAGGCUAUUUGAAAAUAUACAGUAAGAGGAGACAAAAGAAAAAGAAUAAAAAAGAAUAAAGCAUGUCUACAAAAUCUAGAAAACAGACUGAAAGGCCAAAUAUAAGAGUUAUUGGUCUUAAAGAGGAAGUAGAGAGAGAGAGAUCAGGUGGAAAGUUUAUUCAAAGGGAUAAUAACACAGAAGUUUCCAAACCUAGAGAAAGAUAUCAAUAUCUAAGUACGAGAAGGUUUUAGAACACAAAAAUAGAUCAAAUCCAAACAACAUUACCCCAAGACAUUUAAUAAUCAAACUCACAAAGGCCAAAGAUAGAGAAAGGAUGCAAAAAGUAGUGAGGGAAAAGAAAGAAAUAACAUACAAAGGAGCUCCAGUACAUCUGGCAGCAGACUUUUCAGUGGAAACCUUACAGGAGAGAGUGGCAUGGUGUAUAUAAAGUGCUAAAGGAAAAAAAAUUUACCCUAGGGGAGUAUAUCCAGCGAAAAUAUCCUUCAAACAUGAAGUAGAAAUAAAAACUCUCCAAACCAAAGCUGAGAGAUGUCAUCAACACCAGGCCUGUCCCUCAAGAGAUGUUAAGGGGAGUAUUUCAAUCAGAAAGAAAAGAAGGUUAAUAAGGAAUAAAAAAAAAUCAUCUGAAGGUACAAAAUUCACUGGUAAUAGUAAGUUCACAGAAAAACACAGAAUAUUAUAACACUGUAAUUGUGGUGUGUGAACUACUCUUAUCCUAAGUAGAAGGACUAAAAAAUAAACCAAUUGAAAACAGUAACUACAAUAAAUUUUCAAGAAAUAGUACAAUAAGAUAUAAAUAGAAACAACAAAAAGUUAAA